rnacentral:rRNA from 1 species
UUCGGGGUGAGCGGCGGACGGGUGAGUAACGCGUGGGAAUAUGCCCUUCUCUAAGGAAUAGCCUCUGGAAACGGAGAGUAAUACCUUAUACGCCCUUCGGGGGAAAGAUUUAUCGGAGAAGGAUUAGCCCGCGUUAGAUUAGGUAGUUGGUGGGGUAAUGGCCUACCAAGCCUACGAUCUAUAGCUGGUUUGAGAGGAUGAUCAGCCACACUGGGACUGAGACACGGCCCAGACUCCUACGGGAGGCAGCAGUAGGGAAUCUUAGACAAUGGGGGCAACCCUGAUCUAGCCAUGCCGCGUGUGUGAUGAAGGCCCUAGGGUCGUAAAGCACUUUCGCCAGAGAUGAUAAUGACAGUAUCUGGUAAAGAAACCCCGGCUAACUCCGUGCCAGCAGCCGCGGUAAUACGGAGGGGGUUAGCGUUGUUCGGAAUUACUGGGCGUAAAGCGCACGUAGGCGGAUUAGUAAGUUAGAGGUGAAAUCCCAGGGCUCAACCCUGGAACUGCCUUUAAUACUGCUAGUCUUGAGUUCGAGAGAGGUAAGUGGAAUUCCGAGUGUAGAGGUGAAAUUCGUAGAUAUUCGGAGGAACACCAGUGGCGAAGGCGGCUUACUGGCUCGAUACUGACGCUGAGGUGCGAAAGUGUGGGGAGCAAACAGGAUUAGAUACCCUGGUAGUCCACACCGUAAACGAUGAAUGCCAGAC